AGCAGACUGGCAGUGGGGUAUUAUGCAGAGCAGGCUGACAGUGGGGUAUUAAGGGGGAGAGCAGGCUGACAGUGGGGUAUUAAGGGAGAGAGCAGGCUGACAGUGGGGUAUUAAGGGGGAGAGCAGGCUGCCAGUGGGGUAUUACGGGGGAGAGCAGACUGGCAGUGGGGUAUUAAGGGGGAGAGCAGACGCCAGUGGGGUAUUAAGGGAGAGAGCAGGCUGCCAGUGGGGUACUAAGGGGGAGAGCAGACUGACAGUGGGGUAUUAAGGGGGAGAGCAGACUGGCAGUGAGGUAUUAAGGGGGAGAGCAGGCUGACAGUGGGGUAUUAAGGGAGAGAGCAGACUGGCAGUGGGGUAUUAAGGGAGAUAGCAGGUUAUUGGGGGGGGGAGUAGAGGCUGGCAGUGGGGUAUUAAGGGAGAGAACAGGCUGGCAGUGGGGUAUUAAGGGGGAGAGCAGACUGGCAGGGGGGUAUUAAGGGAGAGAGAGCAGGCUGGCAGUGGGUAUUAAGGGGGAGAGCAGGCUGACAGUAGGAUAUUAAGGGGGAGAGCAGACUGGCAGUGGGGUAUUGAGGGGAGAGAGCAGGCUGACAGGGGUAUUAAGGAGAGAGCAGGUUAUUGGGGGGAGUAGAGACUGACAGUGGGGUAUUAAGGGGGAGAGAGCAGGCUGGCAGUGGGGUAUUAAGGAGAGAGCAGGUUCUU
rnacentral:lncRNA from 1 species